rnacentral:misc_RNA from 1 species
GAUGAAGAACGCAGCGAAAUGCGAUAAGUAAUGCGAAUUGCAGAAUUCAGUGAGUCAUCGAAUCUUUGAACGCACAUUGCGCCCGCUGGUAUUCCGGCGGGCAUGCCUGUUCGAGCGUCAUUUCAACCCUCAAGCCCCCCGGGUUUGGUGUUGGGGAUCGGCUCUGCCUCACGGCGGUGCCGCCCCCGAAAUACAUUGGCGGUCUCGCUGCAGCCUCCAUUGCGUAGUAGCUAACACCUCGCAACUGGAAAGCGGCGCGGCCAUGCCGUAAAACCCCAACUUCUGAAUGUUGACCUCGGAUCAGGUAGGAAUACCCGCUGAACUUAAGCAUAUCAAUAAGCGGAGGA